rnacentral:rRNA from 1 species
GUUAGGAAUAUUGGACAAUGGGCGCAAGCCUGAUCCAGCCAUGCCGCGUGAGUGAUGAAGGCCUUCGGGUUGUAAAGCUCUUUAGUCCACGAAUAUAAUGACUGUAGUGGAAGAAUAAGACCCGGCUAACUUCGUGCCAGCAGCCGCGGUAAUACGAAGGGGGCGAGCGUUAUUCGGAAUCACUGGGCGUAAAGCGUGCGUAGGCUGUUUUGUAAGUCAGAAGUGAAAGCCCAGGGCUUAACCCUGGAAUUGCUUUUGAAACUACAAGACUCGAAUUCGGGAGAGGAUAGCGGAAUUGUCAGUGUAGCAGUGAAAUGCGUAGAUAUUGACAGGAACACCAGUGGCGCAAGCGGCUAUCUGGACCGAUAUUGACGCUGAGGCACGAAAGCGUGGGGAGCAAACAGGAUUAGAAACCCGGGUAGUCC